GGCCAAUGACGCGCAUCCCGUUUGCCCUGGCCCGACGCACCAGCUCGUGCUGGCGGGCGAGUCCCCGCUCGCCGUCGUCGGCGAAUCCGGCAGUGGCCACCA
rnacentral:tRNA from 2 species